GUAUUCCUAGCCGUAAACGAUGUCAACUAGGUGUAGGGGGUAUCCAACCCCCCUGUGCUGUAGCUAACGCGUUAAGUUGACCGCCUGGGGACUACGGCCGCAAGGCUAAAACUCAAAGGAAUUGACGGGUCCCCGCACAAGCAGCGGAGCGUGUGGUUUAAUUCGAGGCUACGCGAAGAACCUUACCAGGGUUUGACAUAUGCGUGGUAGUGAUCUGAAAAGUGACCGACCCUUCGGGGAGCGCAUACAGGUGCUGCAUGGCUGUCGUCAGCUCGUGCCGUGAGGUGUUCGGUUAAGUCCGAUAACGAGCGCAACCCUCGUCGUUAGUUACAAGUGUCUAGCGAGACUGCCGGUGAUAAGCCGGAGGAAGGUGGGGAUGACGUCAAGUCAGCAUGGCCUUUAUAUCCUGGGCUACACACACGCUACAAUGGCCGGUACAAUGGGUCGCGAAGCCGCGAGGCGGAGCCAAUCCUCCAAAGCCGGUCUCAGUUCGGAUUGUAGGCUGCAACUCGCCUGCAUGAAGUCGGAGUUGCUAGUAACCGCGCGUCAGCAACAGUGCGGUGAAUACGUUCCCGGGGAUUGUACACACCGCCCGUCACGUCAUGGAAGUUGGCAACGCCUGAAGUCGGUGGGCUAACCCUAACGGGAGGCAGCCGCCCAAGGCGGGGUCGGUAACUGGGACGAAGUCGUAACAAGGUA
rnacentral:rRNA from 1 species